rnacentral:rRNA from 1 species
AGAAGCGCAUACGGUGGAUGCCUUGGCAGUCAGAGGCGAUGAAAGACGUGGUAGCCUGCGAAAAGCUUCGGGGAGUCGGCAAACAGACUGUGAUCCGGAGAUGUCUGAAUGGGGGAACCCAGCCAUCAUAAGAUGGUUAUCUUACACUGAAUACAUAGGUGUAAGAGGCGAACCAGGGGAACUGAAACAUCUAAGUACCCUGAGGAAAAGAAAUCAACCGAGAUUCCCUUAGUAGUGGCGAGCGAACGGGGACCAGCCCUUAAGUUGUAUUGAGAUUAGCGGAACGCUCUGGAAAGGGCGGCCAUAGUGGGUGAUAGCCCUGUACGCGAAAAUCCCUUUGCAAUGAAAUCGAGUAGGACGGGGCACGAGAAACCUUGUCUGAAUAUGGGGGGACCAUCCUCCAAGGCUAAAUACUACUGACUGACCGAUAGUGAACCAGUACCGUGAGGGAAAGGCGAAAAGAACCGCGGAGAGCGGAGUGAAAUAGAUCCUGAAACCGUAUGCGUACAAGCAGUGGGAGCCCACUUUGUUGGGUGACUGCGUACCUUUUGUAUAAUGGGUCAGCGACUUAUUUUCAGUGGCGAGCUUAACCGAAUAGGGGAGGCGUAGCGAAAGCGAGUCUUAAUAGGGCGUCUAGUCGCUGGGAAUAGACCCGAAACCGGGCGAUCUAUCCAUGGGCAGGUUGAAGGUUGGGUAACACUAACUGGAGGACCGAACCGACUACCGUUGAAAAGUUAGCGGAUGACCUGUGGAUCGGAGUGAAAGGCUAAUCAAGCUCGGAGAUAGCUGGUUCUCCUCGAAAGCUAUUUAGGUAGCGCCUCAUGUAUCACUGUAGGGGGUAGAGCACUGUUUCGGCUAGGGGGUCAUCCCGACUUACCAAACCGAUGCAAACUCCGAAUACCUACAAGUGCCGAGCAUGGGAGACACACGGCGGGUGCUAACGUCCGUCGUGAAAAGGGAAACAACCCAGACCGUCAGCUAAGGUCCCAAAGUCAUGGUUAAGUGGGAAACGAUGUGGGAAGGCUUAGACAGCUAGGAGGUUGGCUUAGAAGCAGCCACCCUUUAAAGAAAGCGUAAUAGCUCACUAGUCGAGUCGGCCUGCGCGGAAGAUGUAACGGGGCUCAAACCAUGCACCGAAGCUACGGGUAUCAUCUUUUGAUGAUGCGGUAGAGGAGCGUUCUGUAAGCCUGUGAAGGUGAGUUGAGAAGCUUGCUGGAGGUAUCAGAAGUGCGAAUGCUGACAUGAGUAACGACAAUGGGUGUGAAAAACACCCACGCCGAAAGACCAAGGUUUCCUGCGCAACGUUAAUCGACGCAGGGUUAGUCGGUCCCUAAGGCGAGGCUGAAAAGCGUAGUCGAUGGAAAACAGGUUAAUAUUCCUGUACUUCUGGUUAUUGCGAUGGAGGGACGGAGAAGGCUAGGCCAGCCUGGCGUUGGUAGUCCAGGUUUAAGGUGGUAGGCUGAGAUCUUAGGUAAAUCCGGGAUCUUAAGGCCGAGAGCUGAUGACGAGUGUUCUUUUAGAACAUGAAGUGGUUGAUGCCAUGCUUCCAAGAAAAGCUUCUAAGCUUCAGGUAACCAGGAACCGUACCCCAAACCGACACAGGUGGUUGGGUAGAGAAUACCAAGGCGCUUGAGAGAACUCGGGUGAAGGAACUAGGCAAAAUGGCACCGUAACUUCGGGAGAAGGUGCGCCGGUGAGGGUGAAGCAUUUACUGCGUAAGCCCACGCCGGUCGAAGAUACCAGGCCGCUGCGACUGUUUAUUAAAAACACAGCACUCUGCAAACACGAAAGUGGACGUAUAGGGUGUGACGCCUGCCCGGUGCCGGAAGGUUAAUUGAUGGGGUUAGCGCAAGCGAAGCUCUUGAUCGAAGCCCCGGUAAACGGCGGCCGUAACUAUAACGGUCCUAAGGUAGCGAAAUUCCUUGUCGGGUAAGUUCCGACCUGCACGAAUGGCGUAACGAUGGCGGCGCUGUCUCCACCCGAGACUCAGUGAAAUUGAAAUCGCUGUGAAGAUGCAGUGUAUCCGCGGCUAGACGGAAAGACCCCGUGAACCUUUACUAUAGCUUUGCACUGGACUUUGAAUUUGCUUGUGUAGGAUAGGUGGGAGGCUUUGAAGCGUGGACGCCAGUCUGCGUGGAGCCAACCUUGAAAUACCACCCUGGCAACUUUGAGGUUCUAACUCAGGUCCGUUAUCCGGAUCGAGGACAGUGUAUGGUGGGUAGUUUGACUGGGGCGGUCUCCUCCUAAAGAGUAACGGAGGAGUACGAAGGUGCGCUCAGACCGGUCGGAAAUCGGUCGUAGAGUAUAAAGGCAAAAGCGCGCUUGACUGCGAGACAGACACGUCGAGCAGGUACGAAAGUAGGUCUUAGUGAUCCGGUGGUUCUGUAUGGAAGGGCCAUCGCUCAACGGAUAAAAGGUACUCCGGGGAUAACAGGCUGAUACCGCCCAAGAGUUCAUAUCGACGGCGGUGUUUGGCACCUCGAUGUCGGCUCAUCACAUCCUGGGGCUGAAGCCGGUCCCAAGGGUAUGGCUGUUCGCCAUUUAAAGUGGUACGCGAGCUGGGUUUAGAACGUCGUGAGACAGUUCGGUCCCUAUCUGCCGUGGACGUUUGAGAUUUGAGAGGGGCUGCUCCUAGUACGAGAGGACCGGAGUGGACGAACCUCUGGUGUUCCGGUUGUCACGCCAGUGGCAUUGCCGGGUAGCUAUGUUCGGAAAAGAUAACCGCUGAAAGCAUCUAAGCGGGAAACUUGCCUCAAGAUGAGAUCUCACUGGAACCUUGAGUUCCCUGAAGGGCCGUCGAAGACUACGACGUUGAUAGGUUGGGUGUGUAAGCGCUGUGAGGCGUUGAGCUAACCAAUACUAAUUGCCCGUGAGGCUUGACC